AUUGAACGCUGGCGGCAGGCCUAACACAUGCAAGUCGAGCGGAUGAAGGGAGCUUGCUCCUGGAUUCAGCGGUGGACGGGUGAGUAAUGCCUAGGAAUCUGCCUGGUAGUGGGGGAUAACGUCCGGAAACGGGCGCUAAUACCGCAUACGUCCUGAGGGAGAAAGUGGGGGAUCUUCGGACCUCACGCUAUCAGAUGAGCCUAGGUCGGAUUAGCUAGUUGGUGGGGUAAAGGCCUACCAAGGCGACGAUCCGUAACUGGUCUGAGAGGAUGAUCAGUCACACUGGAACUGAGACACGGUCCAGACUCCUACGGGAGGCAGCAGUGGGGAAUAUUGGACAAUGGGCGAAAGCCUGAUCCAGCCAUGCCGCGUGUGUGAAGAAGGUCUUCGGAUUGUAAAGCACUUUAGGUUGGGAGGAAGGGCAGUAAGUUAAUACCUUGCUGUUUUGACGUUACCAACAGAAUAAGCACCGGCUAACUUCGUG
rnacentral:rRNA from 1 species